CAUCCAAUUUUGAGUUUUCACACCUUGAAGGUUGUUCAUGUGCCCUAUGCACAUUUAAAAAGGAGAUUACUUAUUCGACUUCCCCAUGUUCACACCCACCAAAAACUGAUCAUCUAUUUGAACCAUCAGCUCACAUUAAAGGCUACACGUUUUUGGUUAUUUGGAGAGUGCAAAUGUCAUGGAUGUUGGCAUCACCGAUGCAUGGGAGUCUUCAAGAGUCUUGUGGGAUAGCUCAAUGGUUAUUCAGCUCAAUUAAGCUGAAUUAAUUAAGUCUAUUUGGCUAGACCUUGGUAGAGCUAUAAAUACUAAACUCAAACUUUGUAUUUCAGACUUUUUGAACCUUUUAUGUUAUAUAUCAAUUUGUGAGUUAUUCAAC
rnacentral:lncRNA from 1 species